rnacentral:rRNA from 1 species
UACGUAGGGGGCAAGCGUUGUCCGGAUUUAUUGGGCGUAAAGAGCGUGUAGGCGGCUUUACAGGUCCGUUGUGAAAACUCGAGGCUCAACCUCGAGACGCCGGUGGAAACCGUAAAGCUAGAGUCCGGAAGAGGAGAGUGGAAUUCCUGGUGUAGCGGUGAAAUGCGCAGAGUAUCAGGAAGAACACCCGUGGCUAAGGCGGCUCUCUAGUACGGUACUGACGCUGAGACGCGAAAGCGUGGGGAGCGAACAGG